rnacentral:rRNA from 1 species
AGCGAACGCUGGCGGCGUGCCUAACACAUGCAAGUCGAACGUGAAAGGGAGCACUCCCACGUAAAGUGGCGUACGGGUGAGUAACACGUAGGUAAUCUACCCCAGAAUCUGGAAUAACCGGCCGAAAGGCUGGCUAAUACUGGAUAGAGCGACGGAAUCCGUAAUUGGGUUUUUCGGGAAAGGGAGCCUGUAAAAAGGCCUUCGUUCUGGGAUGAGCCUGCGUCCCAUCAGCUAGUUGGUGAGGUAAAAGCUUACCAAGGCAAUGACGGGUAGCUGGUAUGAGAGGACGAUCAGCCACACUGGGACUGAAACACGGUCCAGACUCCUUCGGGAGGCAGCAGUGGGGAAUCUUGCGCAAGAGGCGGAAGACAGACGCAGCAACGCCGCGGGAGUGAAGAAGGCCUUCGGGUUGUAAAGCUCUGUCGAGUGGGACGAAAAUGCUUGGAGUUCACAGCUCCAGGAACUGACGGUACCACUAAAGGAAGCACCGGCUAACUCCGUG